rnacentral:lncRNA from 1 species
UAGAAUUUGCUAGAAUUGAGAUGAAAGAAGAGUGUUCAAAGCCAUAUUUAUGGAGAACUCUUUCUAAAUAUGCUUGCUCAUGAAGAAAAAUCAGUCUUGAUUUACUAUUCCUUUCAAUUUGUAAUCGAAUAUAGAUAUUUAGGUUAUUAACUCAAGAUUCAAAGAGAUCAUUCAUAGUGUGUAGAACAUAAUUGAUAUGUCUUGUAUAAUAGUAGCAAUAUAAGCCAUUAUUGACAAAAAUAAGAAUGAUGAGUUAGUUUUCUAGUUUAGAAUGGUAUACACAUGAGUCGGCAAAAUUUUGCUUGAGUUUGUAAGUAACCAAAAACUUGUUAAUUCUA